UAGGGAAUCUUCGGCAAUGGACGAAAGUCUGACCGAGCAACGCUGCGUGAUUGAAGAAGGUUUUCGGAUCGUAAAACUCUGUUGUUAGAGAAGAACAAGGACGUUAGUAACUGAACGUCCCCUGACGGUAUCUAACCAGAAAGCCACGUCUAACUACGUGCCAGCAGCCGCGGUAAUACGUAGGUGGCAAGCGUUGUCCGGAUUUAUUGGGCGUAAAGCGAGCGCAGGCGGUUUCUUAAGUCUGAUGUGAAAGCCCCCGGCUCAACCGGGGAGGGUCAUUGGAAACUGGGGGGCUAGAGUGCAGAAGAGGAGAGUGGAAUUCCAUGUAUAGCGGUAAAAUGCGUAGAUAUAUAGAAGAACACCAGUGGCGAAGGCGGAUCUCUGGUCUGAAACUGACGCUGAGGCUCGAAAGCGUGGGGAGCAAACAGG
rnacentral:rRNA from 1 species